rnacentral:piRNA from 1 species
UGCCAGUAGUGAAAGUGUCCACUCAGCUUCU